rnacentral:lncRNA from 1 species
CAUGAGGACUUCGUGUGGAUACUCGUAGAGGCCGGAUGCGUGUGCAGUUGCCAAGCAUCAUAAAGAAUCAUCUACUAUGGAUUUCGGAUAUGAUGAUUUGCUACCCAGACUCAAGUAUGAGAUUUUGUUCUCAAUUAAUUUUUAGAUGUAAUUUAAAUGUGAAUUAGAUAUGAUCUAAUUACACUUAGAUAUGUUCAAUAUAUGAUGAUUUUAGAUUUUAGAUGUACAUACAUACAUAUUAGCUCAUGUCAUAGAUCCUAUAUGGUGAUUUAAAUUUGAUCUAAGCAUGCAUUAUAGAUUAAAUUAUUAAUCUAU